GACGAACGCUGGCGGCGUGCUUAACACAUGCAAGUCGAACGGAAAGGCCCCUUUGGGGGUACUCGAGUGGCGAACGGGUGAGUAACACGUGCGUAACCUGCCCUUGACUUCGGGAUAACUUCAGGAAACUGGGGCUAAUACCGGAUAGGAAUCCUUGCUGCAUGGUGGGGGUUGGAAAGCUUCGGCGGUUUUGGAUGGACUCGCGGCUUAUCAGCUUGUUGGUGGGGUAGUGGCUUACCAAGGCUUUGACGGGUAGCCGGCCUGAGAGGGCGACCGGCCACAUUGGGACUGAGAUACGGCCCAGACUCCUACGGGAGGCAGCAGGGGGGAAUAUUGCACAAUGGGCGGAAGCCUGAUGCAGCAACGCCGCGGGCGGGAUGACGGCCUUCGGGUUGUAAACCGCUUUCAGCAGGGGCGAAGCUUGUGGUGACGGUACCUGCAGAAGAAGCACCGGCUAACUACGUG
rnacentral:rRNA from 1 species